rnacentral:rRNA from 1 species
GUGGGUAGUUUGACUGGGGCGGUCUCCUCCCAAAGCGUAACGGAGGAGCACGAAGGUUAGCUAAUCCUGGUCGGACAUCAGGAGGUUAGUGCAAUGGCAUAAGCUAGCUUGACUGCGAGCGUGACGGCGCGAGCAGGUGCGAAAGCAGGUCAUAGUGAUCCGGUGGUUCUGAAUGGAAGGGCCAUCGCUCAACGGAUAAAAGGUACUCCGGGGAUAACAGGCUGAUACCGCCCAAGAGUUCAUAUCGACGGCGGUGUUUGGCACCUCGAUGUCGGCUCAUCACAUCCUGGGGCUGAAGUAGGUCCCAAGGGUAUGGCUGUUCGCCAUUUAAAGUGGUACGCGAGCUGGGUUUAGAACGUCGUGAGACAGUUCGGUCCCUAUCUGCCGUGGGC